AGGUAAGCAGUUUUCCUUGAUAGCCUUGACAGUAAAUGGUGGCAGGUAGGUUGGAUGAUGAGCCUAAGAGAUACUCAGCUGACGGAGAGCUAUCACCGGGAAGUCGUCACGAAUGGUUCUGGAACUGCCCGCCACCCCCGUGGACAGCUGAAACCGUACUCGGUAUCUUCGAGCACGGACGGUGCAUCCAAAACUAACGUUAGUAUUCCAUGUCCUACGAGACAGCUUUUCUUUUUGACUCUCCUGCUUUGCCGAUGGCAUCAUCAGCAGCAGAUCCCUAAGUCGGAAACCCAAGAUGCUGGCGAGCCUGGCCUUCUACGCCCCCUCCACCGCGGCCCCUCAGCUCCCAAGUCCGCCUCGCAUGGGCACACUUCUGCCAUUCACCUCUUCCUUUAUUUUCCCCAGGACCGCGGUUUACAUCCUGACCACCGCUUGUCCGAAUGUAGGAAGUUCCCGAAUUAACUGUCGGUGCUUUGGAAUCAGGCAAAACUAGGUCCAGCCCCAGGUUCUAUAACCGUUAGCUGUGUGGCCUUGGCUGAGUCACUCAACUUCUCUGGGCAUCAGUUUCCUGGUCUGUAACGGGACAAGAACUACUAUCUCUCAGGGUUGUGGGUAAGGUGAAAUGAAUUUGUUAGAUGGAUGCAGCCUAUAUCCUUGGGGCUCAGGAUUUAUUUAGUUUCUUUCAUGAUGGUUUAGAGAAGCAGGUCACCCUGACGUGAAAAGCAUCAAGGAGGAAAAUGUCAGAAACUGUCUCAUGCCCUCAUUCAGAACCUUCUCCCUUCGAACACACUGGGCAUCCUAUGGGGAUGCCCGGCUUUGACAAUGACCUAAAAGUCUGCCAUUUCCAGUGUCUUUGAGACUCUCGGUGGAUAUAGUGAAGAUCAGUGGUUUAGUUUCUUUCGGUUUGCAGCUUCCUGUUAGUAGCACGAAAGCAGGAAGAGAUUUCACUCUGCUUACAACACAUCACGGUAGCUUUGGUGUUUGUACAGAAAUACACAGCAUCGGGUGCCGCUUUUCAGUUCAGCAGAGACCCGAACUGUUUUCUACUUUCUCCAGUAAAGGGAACUAUGGUUAUUAGUCUCAAGGUGUGCUUUAGCUACCAGGAGCCCGGCAGCAGAGGGUCUCAGAGCGACUCCCCGAUUCUCCCGUGGUCAACCUGGCAGAGACCCCUUGCUGUGGAUGGACGUUUGCACCCCCGAGAAAUUCCCAUGUUGAAGCCUAAUCCCCAGGGUGAUGGAUUAGGAGGUGACACACAGCGAGAAGACAGCCACCGGAAGACCAGCAAGAGGGUCCUCGCCAGACAUCUCACCUGCUGGUGCUUUGGUCUUGGACAUACCAGCCGUUGGAGCUGUGAGAAGUAAAGGUAUGUUGUCACCCAGUCUAUUGGCGGUUGCUAGAGCAGCCUGGGCUGACCGAGACUGUCUCCGGUUUUCCCAGACACUCUCCACGUCAGCCGGCAUUGGAAUCGUUUGCACACACGCCUUUCCCGGACUGUAAACUUGGGGGAACGCUUGCCACAGUGGGGAAAGGAAACACCUGCUGGAUGUCCCACGAGCUGAGUAAAACCUAGAACAGCCGAGCCUGAGACGGAGCCAUUAACCUGAGUCGCUGGAUGCGGAUGGGAAACGUUUUUUCUUUGCUUUGUUGGCAACUCAGUUUUGCUAAUACGCUGGAUGCGCGAGUGUAGGCAUCUCAUGGGCUGAUCGUAUGGAGCCUGGGAACUCAUCUGGGGGACGGGGGGAUCCAAAUAAAGGAGACACGCUGGCGCCCUCCGCAACGGUGUCUCUAUGGGGUGAACUGGGCAAGAACCAGAUGGAGCCAAGGGUAGUGCUUAGUAACUACCCUCAACCUGCCACUCUGGGUCCGCUGCUGAGUUUGUUGGCAUAUAAUAAAUAAAAAUACUAAAUUCAUUUUAAAAUGAUUGUAAAAUCAAGUAGUUUUUACUUACAACAAAUAAAAUAAUUAAAUAGACUAAAAAGAGACUAAGAAUACAAAUGCUUUCUAAAAUUUUGAAAAGCACCAGUGCUCAUUCCAGGGUGAAGAAUAAAACCUCCCUGCCUCCUCCUGCUUCUCUGCUUCUUCCCUCCCCUGUAUUUUCUGGAGCAACGAAUUAUUUCCUGUCAAAGUGGUGCCAGCAAUGAGUAUCCAUCUACUUGAGAUUGUGAAUGAGAGCUCGUGGUUUGGUUUAUCACAGCAAUAAUAUAAUCCAAGCGUGAAUCUGAA